rnacentral:lncRNA from 1 species
AUGUGGAGCCAAGACCACCACAUGGACAACAUGGGAUCACACAGCCAGAUGACACCCAGCACUCGUCUCGGGCACAGUCUGGACUCGGCCACCUCUGUGAUCUCACACCUGCAGGCACCCACACCUGGACAGCCUUCUCUUCUCACCACUGUCCGUCCCUGUCUACCUGCCUCCCAAGAUCUGGUCCAGAUCCCACCUCCUCGGCAGACACCACGGUCCCAGAGUAAGUCAUUCACUCCCGUGGUCCAAAUCCCCCUUCAGUGUAGCUUUAUAUCCCUCACUGUCAUUUCCACCAGAAUUCUUUUCUAAUGGAUGGCUGCAUCCUCAUCAGAACCUAUGGUGCUUAAAUAAAAUAUCUGUGGGUUUUCACUUCAUUUGGAUCUCAGUACUUCCUCAUUGUGUGUGUGUGUGUGUGCUCAGUUGGGUCCAACUCUUUGGGGACCCCCUGGACUGUAGCUCAGCAGGCUCCUCUGUCCAUGGAAUUUUCCAGGCAAGAACCCUGGAUUGGGUUGCCGUUUCCUUCUCCAGGGUUUCUUCCCAACCCAGGGAUCAAAUCCACGUCUCCUGCAUAGGUAGGUGGAUUCUUUACCACUGUGCCACCUGGAAAGCCCACUUCCUCAUUGUGCAUGGUAUAUUUUGGUGCUCUUUAUAAUGUACGAUGACUGUCAGGUCUGCCCUUCUAAGUACUAAAAACCUUCCAUCAGUCUGUCCCGGUUAUACACCUUAAUUAAGGAGGGGUUAAAACUUCAUGGUCCCAGUGUCUGCAUCCCACACGUGAGCGCGCACUCACACAUAUACGUGUGCCUGGGUGGGAACAGACCUAGAGCAGAGGCCGGGGGAACUUCUCUGGGAACAGUCUGAAUGUGCAGCAUUUGACCCAGACGUGGUGUGGUUCUAGGAGAUGCUGUUCCUCAACCUUGUCUCCUGAAUGUCUCAGUACUCAGCCCCAGAACCUGUGACUUCCAAACCACAGGGCUUGUUUGAAUUAUCUACUUAGUCCUUUAUUAAGAACUUCAAUGUGUAAAUUUGUGAGAUUCCAAGACAGGCAGCUCAGAGGAUAGUGGAUUUUGCUGGUUCCAAAUAACAAGAAAUUCCUCUGCUUUUUUUUUUUUUAAGGCAGUGGCCACAGCUGUGGGCUGGCUGUUGCUUCUUUAUCUUUUUAAAAAAAAUAAUUAUUUAUUUAUCUGCACUAGCUCUUCGUUGCUGCACAUGGGCUUUCUCCAGCUAUGGUGCACGGGCUUCUCGCCGCAGUGGCUUCUCUUGUUGCGGAGCAUGGGCUCUAGGGCACACAGGCCUCAGUAGUUGUGCCUUCCCAGCUCUGGAGUGUGGGCUCAGUAGUUGUGGCACACAGGCUUAGUUGCCUGGCAGCAUGAGGAGUCUUCCUGGACCAAGGAUUGAACCCCUGCUCCCUGCAUUGGCAGGUGAAUACUUAACCCCUGGACCACCAGGGAAGUCCAAUUCCUAUGCUUUAAAA